rnacentral:misc_RNA from 1 species
GAAAUGCGAUAAGUAAUGUGAAUUGCAGAAUUCAGUGAAUCAUCGAAUCUUUGAACGCACAUUGCGCCCCCUGGUAUUCCGGGGGGCAUGCCUGUUCGAGCGUCAUUUCACCACUCAAGCCUCGCUUGGUAUUGGGCGACGCGGUCCGCCGCGCGCCUCAAAUCGACCGGCUGGGUCUUCCGUCCCCUCAGCGUUGUGGAAACUAUUCGCUAAAGGGUGCCGCGGGAGGUCACGCCGCAAAACAACCCCAUUUCUAAGGUUGACCUCGGAUCAGGUAGGUAUACCCGCUGAACUUAAGC